rnacentral:lncRNA from 1 species
GUGCCACGUCAACAGCCACGUCAGCAGCCCGGUCAGCAGCCCCGAACCAACCAGGACACGCCGCGUGGCAAGAAAACGCUGACACGGGACGGGCAACGUGGGCAAUUCGCGUGCGCGCGAUCGGACGACCCAGAUCCGUUCCUGCGCGCACGGACGACCUAGAUCAAAUGUGCGCACGGACGGCCCAGAUUUCACGCGUACGGAUGGCCCAG